rnacentral:rRNA from 1 species
AUGGGUCGGAAAGCUGGGCUGUACAUAAACUCAAAGAAGUUUGGCGGCGUCGUUAAGCCGUGCAUGCUGGAGAUGACGGCCUUCCUCAACUGCCUCGCCUUGAACAAGCAGAUCGAUGAAAAGUGCACGAGGCAGAAGGAGCUCUUGAUCACCUGUACCCAGGCUCAGAAGGGCAGGCCGAAGAACGCGGCCAAGACCAUCAAUUACCAUCUUCAGAGGCUUGGGCGGGACAAGUUCCACUAG